GCUCAAACUCUCCAAAAUUGUUGCCGCACUCGUGUCGGAUCCUCCAAAAAAGAGCACUACUUUUGGUGGAUCCAACACACUCUUCAACAUUUUUGAAGAGUCUGAGCAA